CGCGUAGGCUGUCCUGUAAGCGGUGUGUGAAAGCCCGGGGCUCAACCCCGGAACUGCAUACCGAACUGCAGGGCUAGAGGACGAGAGGGGAGUAUGGAACUCUAGGUGGAGCGGUGAAAUGCGUAGAUAUCUAGAGGAACGCCGGUGGCGAAAGCGAUACUCUGGCUCGUCCCUGACGCUGAGGCGCGAAAGCGUGGGUAGCGAACAGGAUUAGAUACCCUGGUAGUCC
rnacentral:rRNA from 1 species